rnacentral:lncRNA from 1 species
UGACAUGACAGAGGUCACUACUGCACCAUAAUUACAAGCUGAUCACUGUGUCAUGUGACUCCCAGGAGAGGCAAUAGCCCCGGAGACCUCUAACAUCAGCUUCUUCUCUCUGCCUGGGUGAUGUGUCAUCAUCAUUUAUCUUUCCCAUUCAUUUCUCCCUAAACCCUAAGAUACUCAAUAUGGACAAAUUCAGAAUUGUUCCUUAACGUCUCUGAAGAAAGGAAUAUAUAUGACUUUGGGCAUCUAUGGUUCCCUAGCAGCCACCGCCACCCCAAGCAAGGUCCUAGUUGGCAGGAAGGCUUCCCCAUCUUAGUGACACGCAACUUUGUGAAGCGGAUCUGGACAACACUGCCUUCUUUCCUCAUCUUCAGCUCCUCCACGUGGUAGACUCAUAGCAAAUGUGAAAAUGACUGAAUAUGCAGUGUUUUCAGAUGUUCCAGAGGAGGAGCUGUGGAAUUAAACCAACUGAACUCGGACGCCCAGGAGCCCACUCACUGACCCACUACGUGACCUCGUGUAAAUUCUCAUAUUCUCUGUCGUAAAGAGGAAAUAAAAUGACCCGUGUCAAAGUGGCGAGAACAGUUGUUCCCUACCGAGUAAAUAGUACAGUAGGCUCAGAGACGGCAAGUGGAAGCCAAUACUUAGACUGGAUCCAGGGCACACAAAAAGGAGUGGAGACAACUUUCAAGUUCAAGACGGCCUGUUCCAAAUUGUUAGCUCCUACUGAGCUCCAGCAGACUAUUGCCAUCAGGGAAUGUGGACCCGACUUGCCUGAUUUUCUAAGUUUUCAUCAAAAAAACUGGAAACUCAGGAUUUUCAAGGUAACUUUCCAGUUUACAAGCUACCUCAAAACAUCUGCAGUCUGA